AUACUUACCUUCCAGAGGACACAUCACGUUCAUGCAGAUGGUUUCCUCAGGGUGAGGCUCACCCACUGCACUUGGGGUGUGCUGACCCCUGAGAGUUCCACGAAUGCAGGAGACUUGGCAGCAUAAUC
rnacentral:snRNA from 1 species